rnacentral:lncRNA from 1 species
UCACAGAACACCUACUGAACCUAGUGGAAGACCUCAAACGAGGACAAGAAAGAUCUCCAUGGGUAGGGAGAAAGGAAAAAAAAAAAAAAAAAGAGGAAGCGGGACGGGGCCCGCCCACCUGGGAGGGAGCUGAAGGAGAGGAGAGUUUCCUACACCCUGGAAAGCCCCAUCAUCAGUGGGGAGAUCAGCCGAGACAGAAGAGGAGCUUCAGAGGCUCAGAGGAGAGAACAACAACUGGUUUGUGGCAGGCAGGAAACUCUCUACAUAGACAUUCCAUGCGACCACCUUGCAUACUCCAGCCUGAGACUCCUCUCUGCUAAUAUGGGUGGGGGUUGGGUGCUGGAACUUGGGGUUUGGUGGACAGGUCCUGGGAAAGAACUGGUGUUGACUGCGUGGUGACAGCCUAAAGGGACUGGAGCAUGGUACAGCUGUAAUUGAGAGUGUUCCAGAAUGAAUAAUGCAGAAGAACAAAUGAGUGAUCUGGAAGAUAGAAUAAUGGAAAUCACUCAGUUAGAACAGCAGACAGAAACCUAAACAAACAAAAAAAAUGACAUCUAUAUGAGACCUGUGGGCUAAUAGAAAGCAUGCCAGUCUAUGCAUAAUAGGGAUCUCAGGAAAAGAAAAAGAAGAGGGGAUUGGAAAUCUAUUUGAAUAAAUUAUGGCUGAAAACUUCCCAAAUCUAAAGAAGGAAAUAGAUAUCUAGAUACAGGAAGCACAGAGGGUCCCAAACAAUAUAAACUCAAACAGACCUACACCAAUACAUAUAAUAAAAAUGGCAAAAGUUAAAGAUAAAGAGAGGAUUCUAAAGGUGGUAAGAGGAAAGCACAGAGUUAAUGACAAGGGCGCCCCCAUAAGGCUAUCUGCUGAUUUUGCUGCAGAAGCAUUGCAGGCCAGAAGGGAGUGGCAAGAUUCAAAGUCCUUUCAGAGAAAACUGUAACCUAGGAUACCCAGCAAAAUUAUCAUUUAGAAGAGAAGAAGAGACAAAGAAUUUUUCAGACAAGGAAAAACUGAAAGAAUACAGAAAUACCAAACCUUUCCUAAAGGAAACAUUGAAAGGGAGUCUCCAAAUAGAAAAGAAGAAUUUAUAGGAAAACCACAAUUAGAAAGGAAAUCACUCAAAUAAGCCAGUACACAGAUUUCUAAAAAUUAAAACAUUUCUGUGAAAGUGAUGAUAACCUCAGUGAACAGCAAAAGGGUGAGCAUGAAGACGCAAAAGAGGACAUCAAAGUCAUAAAAUGCAGGGGAGGAGAGUACGAAAAUGUAGGGUUUUUUCCUAGAAUGCGAUUGAGCCUACAUGACUACCAGUCCAAAGCAAGUAGAAAUAGGAAGGAUAGCUAAUAAGAUGUAGCAUACUUGAAAACAGGGCAAUACAAAUCAAAAAUAUAUGCAGUAGUUUCACAAAAUCCAAAACAGAUAGAACAUAAGUGCAAAACAAAAGAAAAUCAUCAAACCAUAAAAGGCAAAACAUAAAGAAAGGGACAAAGAAGAAAUAUAGAAUUAAUGGAAAAACAAGGGUUAAGGUGGCAAUGAAUACACACUUAUCAAUAAUUCCCUUAAAUAUCAGUGGACUAAAUACUCCAGUCAAAAGACAGUGACAGUUUGGAUAGAAAAAAAAUGUGAGAUGAGUCUACAAUAUGCUCUACAAGAGACCUAUUUUAGGGCAGAGAACACACGUAGAUUGAAAGUGAGGGGACAGAAAAAGAGUUCAUGUAAACAGAAAUAACAAGAAAGUGAAGUUUGCAUACUCAAAUCAGACAAAAUUGACUUUAAAACAAAGGCUAUAAAGAAAGAUAAAAAGGAUAUUAUAUAGUGACAAAAGGAUCAAUAGAGAGAAUAUUACACUCUUCAACAUAUGUGCAUCCAAUAUAGGAGCUCCCAAAUACAUAAAACAAACACUAAGAGAUAUAAAGGGAGACAUUGAUAAGAAUACAAUAAUAGUAGGAAGCUUUAACACUCCACUCACAUCAAUGGGCAAAUCUUUUGAGACAAAAAGUUAAAAAGGCAACAGAGAUCCUAAGUGAUGCAAUAGAACAGUUAGACUUAAGUGAUAUCUUCAGGACAUUACAUCCAAAAAAUGCAUAAUACACAUUCUUUUUAAGUGCACAUGGAACAUUUUCUAGGAUUGGCCACAUACUGGGGCACAAAAUAAGCUUCAACAAAUUUAAGAGUGUAUAGGAAUUAUUUCCAACAUCUUUUCUGACCACAGUGGCAUGAAACUAGAAAUCAACCACAGAAAAAGAAAUGAGAGUAAAAAACAACUACAUGGAGAUUGAAAAACAUGCUACUAAAAAUUAGUGGGUCAACAAUGAAAUCAAAGAGGAAAUUGGAAAAUAUCCUGAGGCAAAUUAUAAUGAAAACACAACCAUACAAAAUGCGUGGGAUGCAGCAAAAGCAGUUCUUAGAGGGACGUUCAUAGUGAUAUAGGCAUUUUUUAAGAAACAGGAAAGUGAGUUCCCAUUGUGGCAUUGUAGGUUCAGAACCUGACAUAGUGUCUCUGAAAAUAUGAGUUUGAUCCCUGGCUUCACUCAGAGGGUUAAAGAUCCAGCAUUGCUUCAGGCUGUAGUGUAGGUCACAGGUGUCACCAUUGUUGCUGUGGCUGUGGUGUAGGCUGUCAGCUGCUGCUCCAAUUCAACCCCUAUUCUGGGAACUUCCUAUGCUGCA